rnacentral:rRNA from 1 species
ACUGCGUACCUUUUGUAUAAUGGGUCAGCGACUUAAUUUCAGUAGCGAGGUUAACCGUUUAGGGGAGCCGUAGGGAAACCGAGUCUUAAUAGGGCGUUUAGUUGCUGGGUGUAGACCCGAAACCGGGUGAUCUAUCCAUGAGCAGGUUGAAGGUUGGGUAACACUAACUGGAGGACCGAACCGACUACCUUUGAAAAGUUAGCGGAUGACCUGUGGAUCGGAGUGAAAGGCUAAUCAAGCUCGGAGAUAGCUGGUUCUCCUCGAAAGCUAUUUAGG